GCCUUGCACAGCGCCCGGCGCGAGGAGGCGGCCGGAGUGACGGAGCGCGGAGCGGGGCACCCCGCGCCCCUCGUCCCCAUGCGGCCGCGGGCGGAGGGAGGCUGCCGCCGCGGGAGCUGCGCGCCCGGGCCGCCCGGACAGCGGCGGGGAGCCGCCGUCACCCGCCCCCGGAGGGACGGGCUCAGCUCCCGUCGGCGCUGAGGACCACGCGCCUCGCGGGGACGGACGACUUGCGGCGCGGCAAAGGAGGGAGUAGCGGCACUAUUCUCCAGAGCCGCCUCGCCUGGCUUAUGCUUAUCGGGAGACCUCAGGAACGGCGGCGGCUUCUGCAACAUGACGGGCGAUGACGAGCCCUAAGGCGGCGUCGAGGCGUGCCGCCGCGGGCUGCGAUGAGCCUCGGCGAGCCGCUGCCGGAGGGCCCGCGGGCAGCCCGCUAGCUGCCGGCCCGCCGCUCCGCUCCGCGCCGCCGGCCGUCCGCAGCGCCCCGGGGGCAUGGGAGAGGCGGGCGGCGCCCGCUGAGAGCGCCGCGCUGAGCCGCAGGAGGAGCGAGGCAAGGCGAGCCGACAAGAUGCGGGAGAGGGCCGCGGUGGGGGUACUCUCCGUGGUGCUGAUCCUGGCGCUGGGGCUCCCGCCGGGCGCUGUGGCCUGCCCCCACCCCUGUGCCUGCUACGUCCCCACCGAAGUCCACUGCACGUUUCGAUCCUUAGCAGCCGUGCCGGCAAGGAUUUCUAAACAUGUGGAAAGAAUCAAUUUUGGGUUUAACAGUAUACAGUCUAUAUAUGAAAACUCCUUUGCAGGACUCAAUAAACUGGAAUUGCUUAUGAUACAUGGAAAUGACAUUCAGAAUAUACCUAAUGGUGCUCUGAAAGAUCUCGUAUCUCUACAGGUUUUCAAAAUUAGUUACAAUAAAUUGAAAGUUAUAACUGGCCAAACCCUCCAUGGACUUUCAAGCUUAAUGAGGCUGCAUGUGGACCACAACAGAAUCGAGUUUAUUCAUCCAGAUGCUUUUAAUGGAUUAACUUCUCUGAGAUUGGUCCACUUAGAAGGAAAUUUGCUCCAGCAGCUUCAUCCACACACCUUUUCAACAUUUAUGGUCCUUAAUUAUUUUAAACUGUCAACAGUAAGACAUCUCUACCUAUCUGAAAAUGCUAUUAGCACGUUGCCUGCAGGAAUCUUUCAAGGUAUGCCACUGCUGGAGAAUCUUUACCUUCAUGGGAAUCCGUGGGCCUGUGACUGCAGCUUAACGUGGCUCCUUGAUUGGAUUGAAAAUUCAGGAGGUGUUCUAAAAUGCAAAAAGGACAAAGCUUAUGAAGGGGGACAGCUCUGUCCUAAGUGUAGCAGCCCAAAACAGCUGCAAAAAGAAGAUAUCCAGAACUUGAAAGAUAUUUCCUGUAGGAAACCUAUCAUUCAGUCCUCACUGAGGCACAAUAGCAGCACUCAAGAUGAAGAAGAUGGUGAGAGUUAUGAACUCCCUCUGGAAGUCCUUCAGUCUUCUCCAUGGAACAUUACACUGAAUAUGACUGAUGAGCAUGGCAAUGUAGUCCAUUUGAACUGUGAAAUCAAGAAACCAACAGGCUCUACCAAGAUUCAAUGGAAUCAAAUCCAGACUCAGGAGAUUGAUAUAAAUGCUACAAUAUCACUGGAUUUUGAAUGCCCAAUGAAUCGAGAGAACUAUGAAAAAUUGUGGAAGCUGAUUGCUUAUUAUAGUGAAGUGCCUGUCAAAUUAGAAAGGGAACUUAUGCUCAGUAAAGAGCCUAAAAUAAGUUAUCGGUACAAGCAAGGUUCAGACUACGAUGCUCUUUAUUACACAGGUGUAAAAGCUCAAAUACUGGCUGAGCCUUCCUGGGUGAUGCAACCUCUUAUAAAUAUCCAAUUAAACAGGCGCCAGAGUACAGGGAAAAAAGUGGUGCUAUCUUUUUUUACUGUGUUUUCUCAGGCUAUUCAUACCAAAGACACCAGACAGCAGAGAAGCUGGGUAAUGAUAGAGCAAAAUCAAAGCACAAGGAAAGCACAGAGUGUGGUGGAAGGGUCAGAGUGUCAGCUGAACUGCAACGUGAAAGCCUCUGAGCGUCCCUUCAUUCAGUGGCUCUUUCCAGAUGGGACUAAACUGCAGGCACCGUUUAAUCAGAAGGACAGUAGAUUUUCCAUUCUCAGUAGUGGUCAACUAGUAAUCAAACCAGUGAGUUACACUGAUGCUGGCUUGUAUCACUGUAUUGCCCAAGUGAGAGAUGAUGUGGAUGUUAUGGCUUACAGGCUUCUAGUGCAGCCUCCUGCUCUUCAGGUAGCUGACUCAGAUAUAGUGAGAGUUGAAAAAAAUGUUGGAGAUCCUAUAGUUUUGCCUUGCAAUGCAAUUGCCAGCCCAGAGGCACGAUUGAGCUGGAUUCUUCCAAACAGCCAGGUACUUAAUGUUUUGUCAAACUCUUCAAAAGGAUAUGUGUUGGACAAUGGUACUUUGCUUAUUCCAAAAAGCCACGUCAGUGACAGUGGCCAUUACAGAUGUGUGGCUGUCAAUCAGCAGGGAUCAGAUCAGUUUACUGUAAGAGUGACAGUAAAUAAAAUGGUGUCUGACAGAUCAUUUAAAAGGGUAAAACUGAAAAAACGCACACGCUCAAAAAGCUCAUCGAAAACAAGAGGGCGGGUCAUUGAUGAUGAAGAGGGAUCAGGCACAGGAGGGGGAGAUGAAUUCCCACGAAGAAAGAACCACCUGAAGGACAGAGAAAUAUCCUUUAAACAAAAAAAUGACCAGGUGCUAGAGGGUCAAAUUAAAAAGGGAAAGAAAGGCAGAAGGAAAAUGAAAAUUUGGAAAGGUACUGAUAGAACCCAAGACAGCAAUGUUGCAGAAGGCCGGAGAGCAUUUGAAUCUCGAAGGAGAAUUAAUAUGGCAAGCAAACAGAUUAAUCCACAGCACUGGGCUGACAUUUUGGCAAAGGUCCGUGGGAAGAACCUUCCUAGAACAACAACAGGUACUGCCAUUUUGUUAACAACUACAUUGCCAUCAGACAUGCAGAAAACUACUCCUAUCCCUCAUCCAGUAGCCAUCCCUCUGCCUUCAGAGGCAGCAGCUGAUGUAGUAGAUUCUUCUGCUGAUACAUCACCACCGGGUGAAAAUGAGCCAUUCUCAGUCACUGUUUCCCACAGCAGUAAAGCAUUUUCAGCUUGGUCCACAACAGCAGGGCCAGAAACUGAACCUUUCUAUGACAAAAGAGCUUUAAAAACACCUGCAAGUAUACACUCUGUAGAAAUCCCUGUGUCGGGUCCUGUCUUUGCAACUGUGCAACCCCAUGGCCAGCAGCAUCAGGAUGGCAGCGCUUAUUCUUCAGUUGUAGUCAAAGAAAAUAUUCAUGCUGUCACUGAAGAACCUUUAAUCAAAGAAACAGUGACCAACUAUCCUAAUAUUCAGAGCAGUUCAUUCACAGUGGAAGGUGUGGAUGCAACUGUAUCUUCUAAGUCAGAGGAAAAUUCUGCUUUUGCUGAGCUACCACUUGAUGCUUCUGUCCUAGCUGAAUCUCAGACUGUAGAUCUUCAUAGUGUCUUGGAGACAAAUGAGAGAUUAAAUGAAGUGGAUCAAAUGAAUGCUGGUAGUAUAAUUUUGGCACCUUCUCAGCUGGAUGAUAUCAUCCCAACAGAUUCUGUGGGCUCUACUGCCAUUUCUUCAUCUGUUACAGAAAAAAGCAACGACUUGAUACAUGAACACAGAGAUGUAUCCACUAGUCAGACAAAAAAAGCAGAUUUAAGUACAGUUUCUCCAGCUGUCAUAUCCAUCAAGGUCCAGAGCAAGGAAGAAUCAGAGACCUACAGGAGUACAGUGACUCAAGAAAGCACAUCCAGCACUUACACAAAGAGUUUUCAGGGGGAAGAACAGAGAAACUUGUCUGCUCCAAAAACAGAUCCCACAUUUGUUUCACCAAGUAUGAAUGUUCCUCACAAAAAAACAGAAGAGAUAACUGCUGCUUCCAUCAGCAAAUUGACCACUACUGCCACAACACCAACACCCUAUAGGAAGACAACACCUUUGCUAGUUACUCAGCAUGCUAGGAAAAGGCCUUAUGGGAGAAGGAGACUGAGACCAAAUAGAAUCCGACAAAGAACAAAACCUUUCCACCGUAUUGUUUUAACCACAGAGGCAAUGCCUAUCAUUCCAGGAACAUCUAAAGUUGAAGCUGUGACCAAAGCUGCUUCUGCAGUUCUGGGAAGUCCUGAUCUUAAAAGCAAUGUCAAAAUACAGGCUAAGGAAGAGGAGCAUAGGGAAAGCACUCCUUCACUAGUUACCGAUCCAGUUGUAUUAGAGAAAAUGACCAAAACUGAAGAGCUGGUCACAACUUCUUUCUUUAGGCCUACUACUCCUCGACCUGAAAGAAAAUAUGUGGCACUCCCUACUUCUCCUGAAACCUUGGUACUUCCAGUGACUGAGCCCAUCACGAUUUUGUCAUCAUAUUUUAUGCAUAACACAGUUCCCACAAAAGAGUCAAGUGCACCUCUGAAACCACAGCAAAAUACAGUGCCAACAUUUGACUCAUUAGAGAACGUAUCUGAAGAGAGGAGCCUUAAAGCAGAUUCUAAAGCCCCAGAUAGUGAGGCAGAACCGUCAAGUACAGCUACCUCUGAGUAUAGGAGCAGCUUGGUAUCUACUGCAAAAUCCAGUUACCCAGAAUCUCAAGAAGAGACCAUCACUUUUCACUCAGACGUUGUGGCUAAUGAAGCCACUGCUGGAACAUUCCAGCCUAUGUAUCCUACGAUGACAGAUGUAAGUAUUCCUUCUGGCACACUGGAAGUUUUUAAAGAUGUGUCAGAUUCAGAGGGGUUAUGGAAGCCCACAGUAUUUUUAAAAACAUCAGCAAUAACGGAGCAACCCCAGCAACAAGAAAUUGUGUCUUUGUCCUCCUCCUUCAGCACAACAGAAACUCAAACUUUUCCACCUACAGAAACAGAAAUAUCUGUUGUGUCUCAAACUGGGGCAAAAACAUCUUCCUUGGAUAAGAAGGAAACAAUGUCAAAUGUAUUUCAUCAUGAUCCCACUUUGCAGACAGCUGAAAAGCCUCAGACUAUACACAGUGUCUUUAUUCCGUUUACAAAACCUCCUACUCUUCCUCCCCCCAUUUCAAGCACUUUACAUCCUUCUCUUCAUUAUACUAGCAAAGGCAGUAACACCUUCAAUCAGGAAAGGUUGCCAGCAGUAAAACAAGCUGAAGCAGAAAGUGAAAGAAUGGUGGUGAGCUCAAGACAGAAUGUACACCCUACUCCCUUCUCUAGCCAAAACAGGAUUAGCAUACAGUCUAAAGAGGAACAGUUCAAAGAGAUGUACAGUAGCAGGUCAAACAACAGUUUAUUGCUAAAUCCAAACCUUCCCCAUCCACCCGCUGGAAUGAUACCAAGCCUGAAUCAAAGACUGCCUGUUGUGCCUCCAAAGCAUGUUCCAGUAAGAGGCACAGUGAAGCCUCCAUAUGUUGUAACACAAGGCUCAUUUCGUUAUUUUAUAACACAUCAGCCUCUUCACUACACAAACAAACCAGAGAUAACAGCAUAUGCAGCACACACCAUCCAGGACAAAAAAUCUUUUGCCUCUCAGAGGGAGACAACUACCCCAACGCAAGCUACUCCAUUUCACAGAACAAAUACAUUCCCUUCAAGCAAGUUUAGUAAUCAGGGUCAGAAUAGAUACAAUAUUAAUUCAAGAUUUUUUGGUAGUAACUAUGUUCCAGAUAACAGAGGCACAGCAGGGAGACUACCAAGUCAAGAAAUGCCCUAUUAUCCCAGUUCCAGAAUGCCAUUCCUGUUCAACAGGACAAGGAUUUUGCCUCACUUAGGUAUACAUCCUAAACCUAUGGUCCCUGGUCAACUAGUCCCAAAAGACACAAAUGAGAAGAAGGUUGCUCAGGUCUCACCUCCCAGGAUUACAGUGCAGAAAGCUACAGCUGUUCCAAUGCCUUCACACACCACAACCACCACAUCACCACCAGCAGUGAUUUUGAAGAUAACCCCUCCAGCCUUUUUCUCUCAGAGCAGAAAACCCCAGAUAUCCACUACAGUUCAGCCUCUUAAAAAUGUUCACUAUCAUCAAAAAGUUCCAUCUGUGCCUUAUGUGGGAGGCAUUACAUCACACAAUUUAUCUGUAAUUCAAUCUUCAAGCAAUUUCAGGACAACUGGAGAAAGACCUAGAAUUAUAACAAAAGGAUCUCAGAGCAUAUCCAUCCUUGCUGAAACAGAUGCUCUUAUCCCUUGUGAUGCAGUAGGGGAACCCAAGCCUUUUAUUACUUGGACAAAAGUCUCUACAGGAGCUCUGAUGACAGCCAACACCAGGUUACAACGGUUUGAAGUCUUGAAAAAUGGUACCUUCCUUAUCCGAAAUGCUCAGCUUCAGGAUCGUGGACAGUAUUUGUGCACUGCUCAGAACCUGCAUGGUGUAGAUAAAAUGAUUUUUGUGCUCACAGUUGUAGCCCAUCAGCCCAAAAUUUUACUUUCCCGCUAUCAAGAUGUUACUGUCUAUUUUGGAGAUACCAUAGCAAUGGAAUGUCAGGCUAGUGGGACUCCAACCCCACAUAUUUCAUGGAUUUUCCCAGACAGGAAGAUUUUGCAGACAGUCACCACCACAGAAAGCAGGAUAAUGCUUCAUGAAAAUCGAACCUUAUCUAUCAAGCAAGCAACAUUUUCAGACCGAGGAGUGUACAAAUGUGUAGCUAGCAAUGCUGCAGGAGCCGACAGCAUCGCAGUGAGGCUCCACAUUGCAGCCUUACCGCCCAUCAUUCAGCAGGAUAAGCAAGAGAACAUUUCCUUGCCCCUUGGUAGCAGUGUUAAUAUCCACUGCACUGCCAAAGCAGCCCCUUCACCCAGUAUUCGUUGGGUGCUCUUUGAUGGCACACAAAUUCGACCUUCCCAGUUUGUCAAUGGGAAUUUAUUUGUUUUUCCCAAUGGAACUCUUUAUAUUCGCAAUGUCUCCCCCAAGGACAGUGGGAUCUACGAGUGCAUUGCCGCCAACAUGGUGGGAGCUGCCAGGAGAAUAAUACAACUUCAUGUGAAGAAACAAGCAUCAAAUGCUAAGAUCACUGGGAGCUCUCCUCAGAGGACAGAUGUAACUUAUGGCAGCAUCCUGCAUUUGGACUGUAGUGCUUCUGGUGACCCCUGGCCUCGGAUAUUAUGGAGGUUACCUUCCAAAAGGAUGAUUGAUUCCCUACACAGUAACUUGGAGACUAGAAUCAAAGUAUUCAGCAAUGGGACUUUGGUUGUCCAUUCAGUUACAGAUAAAGAUGCGGGAGAUUAUUUGUGUGUGGCUCGCAAUAAGAUUGGGGAUGACUAUGUGGUCCUCAAAGUGAAUGUGAUGAUGAAACCAGCAAAAAUAGAACACAAGAAUGAGAAUAACCACAAGGUCAAGUAUGGAGGUGAUCUGAAAGUUGACUGCGUAGCUACUGGUCUACCAAAUCCUGAGAUCUCCUGGGGUCUGCCAGAUGGUAGCAUGAUCAAUACCUUCAUGCAGUCAGAUGACAGUGGCAGCCGGACAAAGCGAUAUGUGGUCUUCAAUAAUGGAACCCUGUAUUUCAAUGACGUUGGACUGAGGGAGGAGGGGGACUACACCUGCUAUGCUGAGAACCAGAUUGGGAAGGAUGAGAUGAAAGUACGGGUCAAAGUAGUGGCUGAACCUGCAACUAUCCGAAACAAAACCUAUGUCAUUAUUAAUGUACCCUAUGGUGAUGUUGUCACAGUAGCAUGUGAAGCCAAAGGCGAACCUACUCCCAAAGUAACUUGGCUUUCCCCAACCAACAGGCCCAUUCCUACUCUAUCUGAAAAAUACCAGGUAUAUAGGGAUGGUACUCUCCUCAUCCAAAAGGCACAAAGAUCUGACAGUGGUAACUAUACUUGCGUAGUGCGGAACAGUGCUGGAGAAGAUCGGAAAGUGGUAUGGAUCCAUGUCAAUGUUCAACCUCCCAGAAUCAAUGGGCAUCUCAAUGCAAUAACAUCUGUAAGGGAGACAGCCAUCAGGGACAGCAGGAAGCUUAUUGACUGCAAAGCUGAAGGCAUUCCAGCUCCACGCGUCCUGUGGGCUUUUCCAGAAGGAGUAAUUCUGCCAGCCCCCUACUAUGGAAACAGAAUCACUGUGCAUCGCAACGGUACUUUGGACAUCAGAGGGGUGAGGCAGACAGAUGCAGUGCAGCUUGUAUGCAUUGGACGGAACGAAGGAGGAGAAGCAAGACUGAUUGUGCAGCUCCUCAUCACAGACCAUUUGGAGAAACCUUCCUUCAGGGACCCUGUCAAUGAAAGAAUCACUGCAAUUGCUGGGCACAGCAUCAAUCUGAACUGCUCAGUCCAGGGGUACCCUGAGCCCACCACAAGCUGGAUCCUUCCCAAUGGCACUGAAGUGCUGAGUGGCAGCCGUCUGCACAGAUUUUACCAUAAGCGGGAUGGAAUCUUACACAUCAGUGCUCUCUCCACAGGGGAUGCUGGGACCUACCGCUGUACAGCCAGAAACCCAGGUGGCUAUGUGGAACGGGUAGUCUUCCUGAAGGUGGGACUCAGGCCAGAAAUCAGCAACCAGUAUAACAACCUGACUACACAGGAGCCAUGCAUUCAAGGCCAGUGGAGCUUGUUCGUUUACCAUUUUUGAGAGGUGAUGGGACAUUGAGUGGUUGCUCUUGAUUUGAGAAGAUUUCACCGUUUUUACUUGAUUAACCAAAUGGAGCUGAAUGGUAACUACUGAAAUGUCUAUGAGCAAAAAAAGAAAUUACAAAGUAAUCUGGAAUGAAUUCUGAGAGCAGAAGCACCGCUAAGGUAAGCUUAACAUUUCACUACUGUUGGAAGCUUACCUUAGCAUUUCAUCAGACUUUGCUCUGUGAGUAACUGAAAAAAAAAGUCUCUCACAAUAUGAGAUUUUUGUAUUAUAUCAAGGCUGUUUGACAUACAUGCUUUUAUAUAGUCUUGUGAAUGCUUUCAUGCAGCAUGUGUAGGUAUAUAUAUAUAUAUAUAUAUAUAACCAUAGGUAGUGAUCCUGAGCAGAAGACCACUCUAUGUGCAGAAGUUGGUGGUCCACAUCUCAGUUAAGCUAAGGAGGAUCAGGCAUCCCAUUCUGUGCCGUGCUGCACCAUGUUGCAUGUACAGUAUGCCUUUCUGGCCUGUGUUGCACUGUGCACAUUCCUUGGCCACAACCAAUUUACUAAAACAGAGGAGCUCACAAGCAGCUCCCACUUGGUUCUGGUGAUAGUCUACUACUGGCACAGUCUCACCUUUAUCUAACAGUGCCUUAAGCGGUUCAAGUAUUAACAUCCUUUCAUUUAACUGUAAAAAUGAUUAAUAGAGUUCUUUUAUUCUAAAAAAUAACUAGAAUGGCUGAAAUGGGGUAACCCUUGCUGGGACAGAACCUACACAGCAUGCUGCACCCUAAUUAGAGGCAAAUUCAGCACUGAACAACUGAGGGUUUCCAGCAUCAGAAGGCAGAUAAGGUUACCUAUCUUAAAAGGUUACCAUCUUUUUAUAGUGUUAGUUUUAGUACAUGCCAUUUUAAGCAAUACUUGGCAGAGUGCCUGCUUCACUGGGAUGAUUAUGAUCCAGUACCUCUCAGUGCAAAGCACCAUUUGCUCAAUCCUCUUGAUAGCAUGAAAGCUGUACCGUCUAAUGAUCAUUCUAGUGAAGAAAUGUAAUAAUUACAAAAGCCAAACUUGGUAAGAAAGAUAUUAUUCAGACAAGUUAUCUUUCACAAAAGUUCUCUUUGUUUUCCACAAAAUAUGGCUUAAUUUCAGAUUUUCUGGACUAUAAACAAGGAACUCCUUGAGCUGAAUUUGUAGCAGCUUUCAAAGGCCAGAAGAAUUCAUGCAGGUUUUUCCUUGUGUUGUGGGUGACUUGAUUUGCCCUCAAUUAGACUGCAUCCCAAUCUCUCUCAAACUUGCACAAAAAAUUAGUUGAUCUAUACCUUAGUCAUCUCGACACAUUGAACACACAAUUGCGUUUAAUAGCAAUGAAGCUAACAAUAAUGAGAAAAGUAAGUGUGUCAAAAAAAAUUCCUUUUCCCCUCAUUAGUAAGUGUUUUGAGUACCCUGGGAAGCCCUGUAAGACACACACUUACAACAAAGUUCUCCCUGGCUCUGUGACCUCAUGCUGUGUGUCAUGCUGCUCCAUCAAUCAUUGUGUUUUGACUCAUACAAAUUGUCUGUUCUUAUGUUGUGAGAGAGGGUUAAAGGUUUGCAAAGAGUUAAAUCGAGAGGAGACAUGAGGUGAGACUCUGAAUAUGUGUCAUGAGAUUAUCUGCAAUAAAAGAUUUUGGGGACAAACAAA